rnacentral:rRNA from 1 species
AAAUCCCAUAAAGUUGUUCUCAGUUCGGAUUGUAGUCUGCAACUCGACUACAUGAAGCUGGAAUCGCUAGUAAUCGUAGAUCAGCAUGCUACGGUGAAUACGUUCCCGGGUCUUGUACACACCGCCCGUCACACCACGAGAGUUUGUAACACCCGAAGCCGGUGGAGUAACCUUUUAGGAGCUAGCCGUCGAAGGUGGGACAAAUGAUUGGGGUGAAGUCGUAACAAGGUAGCCGUAUCGGAAGGUGCGGCUGGAUCACCUCCUUUCUAAGG